rnacentral:rRNA from 1 species
AGCAGCCGCGGUAAUUCCAGCUCCAAUAGCGUAUAUUAAAGUUGCUGCAGUUAAAAAGCUCGUAGUUGAAUUUCGGGACCAAUAUGUCGGUCGUGCUUCGGUACGUACUGUCAUUAUUGGUUUCUCCCUUCUGAAGAACCUUGAUGUCAUUAAUUUGGUGUCUUGGGGAAUCAGGACUGUUACUUUGAAAAAAUUAGAGUGUUUAAAGCAGGCUCGCGCUUGAAUACAUUAGCAUGGAAUAAUGAAAUAGGACGUUUGAUUCUAUUUUGUUGGUUUCUAGGAUCGACGUAAUGAUUAAUAGGGAUAGUUGGGGGCAUUAGUAUUCAAUUGUCAGAGGUGAAAUUCUUGGAUUUAUUGAAGACUAACUACUGCGAAAGCAUUUGCCAAGGAUGUUUUCAUUAAUCAAGAACGAAAGUUAGGGGAUCGAAGACGAUCAGAUACCGUCGUAGCCUUAACCAUAAACUAUGCCGACUAGGGAUCGGAUGAUGUUAAUUUUUUAAUGACUCAUUCGGCGCCUUACG